AAUUUUGGACAAUGGGCGCAAGCCUGAUCCAGCCAUGCCGCGUGAGUGAAGAAGGCCUUCGUGUUGUAAAGCUCUUUCGGACGGAAAGAAAUCGCGCAGGCUAAUACCCUGCUCGGUUGACGGUACUGCCAUAAGAAGCACCGGCUAACUACUUGCCACCAGCCGCGGUAAUACGCAGGGUUCGUGCGUUCAUCGGAAUUACUGGGCGUAAAGCGUGCGCAGGCGGUUGAUUAAGACAGGCGUGAAAUCCCCGGGCUUUACCUGGGAACUGCGCUUGUGACAGGUCAGCUAGAGUACGGCAGAGGGGGGUGGAAUUCAACGUGUAGCAGUGAAAUGCGUAGAGAUGUGGAGGAACACCGAUGGCGAAGGCAGCCCCCUGGGCCGAUACUGACGCUCAUGCACGAAAGCGUGGGUAGCAAACAGG
rnacentral:rRNA from 1 species